GACGAACGCUGGCGGCAUGCCUAAUACAUGCAAGUCGAGCGAACAGAUGAAGUGCUUGCACUUCUGACGUUAGCGGCGAACGGGUGAGUAACACGUAAGGAAUCUACCUAUAAGCGGGGGAUAACAUUCGGAAACGGGUGCUAAUACCGCAUAAUAUCUUCUUCCGCAUGGAAGAAGGUUGAAAGACGGCUCUGCUGUCACUUAUAGAUGACCUUGCGGUGCAUUAGUUAGUUGGUGGGGUAAUGGCCUACCAAGACGAUGAUGCAUAGCCGGCCUGAGAGGGUGAUCGGCCACAUUGGGACUGAGACACGGCCCAAACUCCUACGGGAGGCAGCAGUAGGGAAUCUUCCGCAAUGGGCGAAAGCCUGACGGAGCAAUGCCGCGUGAGUGAAGAAGGCCUUCGGGUCGUAAAGCUCUGUUAUAAGAGAAGAACAAAUUGUAGAGUAACUGCUACAGUCUUGACGGUAUCUUAUCAGAAAGCCACGGCUAACUACGUGCCAGCAGCCGCGGUAA
rnacentral:rRNA from 1 species